rnacentral:rRNA from 1 species
CAGAGGUCUCGAGCGUUAGGCGGAAUCACUGGGCUUAAAGCGUGUGUAGGCGGAUCGGUAAGUACCUUGUGAAAUCCCACAGCUUAACUGUGGAACUGCUUGGUAUACUGCCAGUCUUGAGCCAGCUAGGGGCGACCGGAACAAAUGGUGGAGCGGUGAAAUGCGUAGAUAUCAUUUGGAACGCCAAUGGUGAAAACAGGUCGCUGGGGCUGUGCUGACGCUGAGACACGAAAGCCAGGGGAGCAAACGGGAUUAGAUACCCCGGUAGUCCUGGCCGUAAACGAUGUCGACUAGAUCGCAGUUCCUUCAACGGUAUUGCGGUCGAAGCAAAAGUGCUAAGUCGACCGCCUGGGAAGUACGGUCGCAAGGCUA